UUGUUUAGACCAAAUUGUAUUUAUUGGGGAAAAGAGAAACAUUACCUACAAUCAAAUAAAAUCAAUAUUGAAUUAUUAAUUGAAAAAUUAAAACAACACAAAUUACACAUAAAUAUUUUAAAAAAUGCAAAAAAUGAUACUUAUAUAAGAUUACAGUUUCAUAGCAAAGAAAAAAUGUAUUCAAAUUCUGAAAUGACUUAUUUACCUUCUCAUGUAAGACCAAAAAAAAAAUGUGUUUGCUCUUUAUUCUAAAAAAAACAUUGCUAGGUUAUAUCUGAUUCAUUUUUGCUUUAGCGUUUUACCAUGGCAUGUCAUAGAACAUCCAAAUUUUCAGAAAAAUCAUCACUUUUUUUUU